rnacentral:rRNA from 1 species
AGACGGAGGAGGCAAGCGUUGUCCGGAAUUAUUGGGCGUAAAGAGCGCGUAGGCGGUUUUCCAAGUCAUGUGUGAAAACUUUAGGCUUAACUUAAAGAUUGCAUAUGAAACUGGGAAUCUUGAGUACGGUAAAGGAAAGUGGAAUUCCUGGUGUAGCGGUGAAAUGCGCAGAUAUCAGGAAGAACACCAGUGGCGAAGGCGGCUUUCUGGACCGUUACUGACGCUGAGGCGCGAAAGCUAGGGUAGCGAACAGGAUUAGAUACCCUGGUAGUCCUAGCUGUAAACGAUGGAUACUAGGUGUGGGAAGUUAUCGACGCUUUCUGUGCCGAAGCUAACGCAUUAAGUAUCCCGCCUGGGAAGUACGGUCGCAAGGCUGAA